GAUGAAGAACGUAGCGAAAUGCGAUAAGUAAUGUGAAUUGCAGAAUUCAGUGAAUCAUCGAAUCUUUGAACGCACAUUGCGCCCGCGAGUAUUCUCGCGGGCAUGCCUGUCCGAGCGUCAUUUCAACCCUCAGGGCCCGCCUGCUUGCAGGCGCGGACCUGGUGUUGGGGAUCGGCCUACCAAGGCCGUCCCCCAAAUACAGUGGCGGUCUCGCUGCAGCCUCCCCUGCGUAGUAGCAACACUCGCAUGCGGAGCGCGGCGCGGCCACGCCGUAAAACCCCCGACUUUCUGAACGUUGACCUCGGAUCAGGUAGGAAUACCCGCUGAUCUUAAGCAUAUCAAUAAGCGGAGGA
rnacentral:misc_RNA from 1 species